AUUGAACGCUGGCGGAAUGCUUUACACAUGCAAUUCGAACGGCAGCACGGGGGCAACCCUGGUGGCGAGUGGCGAACGGGUGAGUAAUACAUCGGAACGUGCCCAGUCGUGGGGGAUAACGUAGCGAAAGCUACGCUAAUACCGCAUACGAACUCAGGUUGAAAGCGGGGGAUCGCAAGACCUCGCGCGAUUGGAGCGGCCGAUGGCAGAUUAGGUAGUUGGUGGGGUAAAGGCUCGACAAGCCGACGAUCUGUAGCUGGUAUGAGAGGACGGCCGGCCACUCUGGGACUGAGACACGGCCCAGCCUCCUACGGGAGGCGGCAGUGGGGAAUUUUGGACAAUGGGCGCAAUCCUGAUCCGGCCAUUCCGCGUGCAGGAUGAAGGCCCUCGUGUUGUAAACUGCUUUUGUACGGAACGAAACGGCCUGGGUUAAUACCUCGGGCUAAUGACGGUACCGUAAGAAUAAGCACCGGCUAACUACGUGCCAGCCGCCGCCGUAAGAC
rnacentral:rRNA from 1 species